rnacentral:rRNA from 1 species
CCCUACGGGGGGCAGCAGUGGGGAAUCUUGCGCAAUGGGCGAAAGCCUGACGCAGCAACGCCGCGUGCGGGAAGACGGCCUUCGGGUUGUAAACCGCUUUCAGCAGGAACGAAAAUGACGGUACCUGCAGAAGAAGGUGCGGCCAACUACGUGCCAGCAGCCGCGGUGACACGUAGGCACCAAGCGUUGUCCGGAUUUAUUGGGCGUAAAGAGCUCGUAGGCGGUUCAGUAAGUCGGGUGUGAAAACUGUGGGCUUAACCCACAGCCUGCACCCGAAACUGCUGUGACUAGAGUUCGGUAGGGGAGCGGGGAAUUCCUGGUGUAGCGGUGAAAUGCGCAGAUAUCAGGAGGAACACCGGUGGCGAAGGCGCCGCUCUGGGCCGAAACUGACGCUGAGGAGCGAAAGCGUGGGUAGCAAACAGGAUUAGAUACCCUGGUAGUCCACGCCGUAAACGUUGGGCACUAGGUGUGGGUCUCAACCAACGAGAUCCGCGCCGUCGCUAACGCAUUAAGUGCCCCGCCUGGGGAGUACGGUCGCAAGACUAAAACUCAAAGGAAUUGACGGA